UACGUAGGGGGCAAGCGUUGUCCGGAAUCAUUGGGCGUAAAGCGCGCGUAGGCGGCUAGAUCAGUCUGCUGUAAAAGUCAAAGGCUCAACCUUUGAAAGCCGGUGGAUACUGUCUAGCUAGAGUCCGGAAGAGGCGAGUGGAAUUCCUGGUGUAGCGGUGAAAUGCGCAGAUAUCAGGAGGAACACCAAUUGCGAAGGCAGCUCGCUGGGACGUAACUGACGCUGAGACGCGAAAGCGUGGGGAGCAAACAGG
rnacentral:rRNA from 1 species